GUAGGGAAUCUUCGGCAAUGGACGGAAGUCUGACCGAGCAACGCCGCGUGAGUGAAGAAGGUUUUCGGAUCGUAAAGCUCUGUUGUAAGAGAAGAACGAGUGUGAGAGUGGAAAGUUCACACUGUGACAGUAUCUUACCAGAAAGGGACGGCUAACUACGUGCCAGCAGCCGCGGUAAUACGUAGGUCCCGAGCGUUGUCCGGAUUUAUUGGGCGUAAAGCGAGCGCAGGCGGUUAGAUAAGUCUGAAGUUAAAGACUGUGGCUUAACCAUAGUACGCUUUGGAAACUGUUUAACUUGAGUGCAAGAGGGGAGAGUGGAAUUCCAUGUGUAGCGGUGAAAUGCGUAGAUAUAUGGAGGAACACCGGUGGCGAAAGCGGCUCUCUGGCUUGUAACUGACGCUGAGGCUCGAAAGCGUGGGGAGCAAACAGGAUUAGAUACCCUGGUAGUCCACGCCGUAAACGAUGAGUGCUAGGUGUUAGACCCUUUCCGGGGUUUAGUGCCGUAGCUAACGCAUUAAGCACUCCGCCUGGGGAGUACGACCGCAAGGUUG
rnacentral:rRNA from 1 species